CGAUUGGGUAGAGGCCGCAAUCGCUUAUGAGUAACCCACGUGAGUUUGACAGCUAUGACCGUGCGUAAAAGGAAGCAUUGCCGAAGUGGACCGGAAAGUCAGAGAAGGUCCGCUGGGGCCAUUCCGAACAGGAAUGGCACUGUCAUGCGGGACGGGAAACCGUCCGCAUGGAGAGCUACAGAUCGU
rnacentral:ncRNA from 2 species